AUUGAACGCUGGCGGCAGGCCUAACACAUGCAAGUCGAACGAGUGGCGGACGGGUGAGUAAUGUCUGGGAAACUGCCUGAUGGCGGGGGAUAACUACUGGAAACGGUAGCUAAUACCGCAUACCAUCGGAUGUGCCCAGAUGGGAGUAGCUAGUUGGUGGGGUAACGGCUCACCUAGGCGACGAUCCCUAGCUGGUCUGAGAUGCAGACCAGCCACACUGGAACUGAGACACGGACCAGACUCCUACGGGAGGCAGCAGUGGGGAAUGUUGGACAAUGGGAGAAAGCCUGAUGCAGCCAUGCCGCGUGUAUGAAGAAGGCCUUCGGGUUGUAAAGUACUUUCAGUAGGGAGGCGGUACCCGCAGAAGAAGCACCGGCUAACUCCGUGCCAGCAGCCGCGGUAAUUC
rnacentral:rRNA from 1 species